GUCAGCGUAGCAGAGAGGCAAUGCGCCCGAAAUCGCACUUCGGGAGCCGCCGGUUCGAAUCCGGCCGCUGACU
rnacentral:tRNA from 2 species